rnacentral:misc_RNA from 1 species
GAUAAUCCACGUUUACCCAACCCUCCCUAGAAUUGCAGCAUGUGUACUGCCGUUGUAAGCAUACCUCUAAAAGAAUAAGUAUGCUACUAUGACUAUUACUAGCCCAUAUACAUCAGGUCAAAGUGCAGCUAAUGAGGGGGUGAUGAUGGGUUACAACCCUAAAAAAGACUAUCAAGUAAGAGAUUAAAAAUCUUAUAAAAGUGGACUUGGCUGUAAUCAACUUAUAAAUAAAAAAAGUGAACACAUCUCUAAGACAUGCACACAUCGCCCGUCACUCUAUCCUAAAGGAUAGAUAAGUCGUAACAAAGUAGGUGUAAUGGAAAUUGCGCCUGUCAAGGUAUAGCAUAUAAAAUGCUUCUUAUUUACACUAAGAAUAAAGUUAAAGACUUACUUUGCUCAUAUAAUAAAAUCUCCCAAUAUUAAGUAAUAAAAACAAUUAAAUAAAUUAUAAUUAAAAGUACAGAAAUGGAACCCCAAUAAAUAAGAGUAGAUUUUUUAACUGUACUUGUGCAGAUGGUGUUACACAAAAUAAUUUUAAUAUUAAUCCCAUUCUAUAUGGGAUGAUGUACUACUGCUGAGAGCCCCUUAAUAGCUGUAGUAAAAGCUGUAAAAGAUAGUUUAGCAGAGGCUAGCAUACAUCCAAGUAAGAAUAUAGCUG